GGGACACGUGGUAUCCUGUCUGAAUAUGGGGGGACCAUCCUCCAAGGCUAAAUACUCCUGACUGACCGAUAGUGAACCAGUACCGUGAGGGAAAGGCGAAAAGAACCCCGGCGAGGGGAGUGAAAAAGAACCUGAAACCGUGUACGUACAAGCAGUGGGAGCACGCUUAGGCGUGUGACUGCGUACCUUUUGUAUAAUGGGUCAGCGACUUAUAUUCUGUAGCAAGGUUAACCGAAUAGGGGAGCCGAAGGGAAACCGAGUCUUAACUGGGCGUUAAGUUGCAGGGUAUAGACCCGAAACCCGGUGAUCUAGCCAUGGGCAGGUUGAAGGUUGGGUAACACUAACUGGAGGACCGAACCGACUAAUGUUGAAAAAUUAGCGGAUGACUUGUGGCUGGGGGUGAAAGGCCAAUCAAACCGGGAGAUAGCUGGUUCUCCCCGAAAGCUAUUUAGGUAGCGCCUCGUGAAUUCAUCUCCGGGGGUAGAGCACUGUUUCGGCAAGGGGGUCAUCCCGACUUACCAACCCGAUGCAAACUGCGAAUACCGGAGAAUGUUAUCACGGGAGACACACGGCGGGUGCUAACGUCCGUCGUGAAGAGGGAAACAACCCAGACCGCCAGCUAAGGUCCCAAAGUCAUGGUUAAGUGGGAAACGAUGUGGGAAGGCCCAGACAGCCAGGAUGUUGGCUUAGAAGCAGCCAUCAUUUAAAGAAAGCGUAAUAGCUCACUGGUCGAGUCGGCCUGCGCGGAAGAUGUAACGGGGCUAAACCAUGCACCGAAGCUGCGGCAGCGACACUAUGUGUUGUUGGGUAGGGGAGCGUUCUGUAAGCCUGUGAAGGUGUACUGUGAGGUAUGCUGGAGGUAUCAGAAGUGCGAAUGCUGACAUAAGUAACGAUAAAGCGGGUGAAAAGCCCGCUCGCCGGAAGACCAAGGGUUCCUGUCCAACGUUAAUCGGGGCAGGGUGAGUCGACCCCUAAGGCGAGGCCGAAAGGCGUAGUCGAUGGGAAACAGGUUAAUAUUCCUGUACUUGGUGUUACUGCGAAGGGGGGACGGAGAAGGCUAUGUUGGCCGGGCGACGGUUGUCCCGGUUUAAGCGUGUAGGCUGGUUUUCCAGGCAAAUCCGGAAAAU
rnacentral:rRNA from 1 species